rnacentral:misc_RNA from 1 species
AAGUUACUUAUGUACUUUCAUGAGUUCACUUAUUACAAAAACGUAAAAUAAAUAAAAUUUCAAAGUAAAUCUAAAAAAAUAUGUUUAGAAUAUCACUACUCUUUUUUGCUCUUGAAUUUAUGGAAUUGAUUAAUGUGGCUUUUGAAUCAUUCAAAUGUCAAAAGUGCUUACGCGCGAUAACACUGUGCGGCAUUUUAAUGAGGAUUCAGGACAAAAAUCAAAAUUCGCUGACCACGUUCGCACGUGCGGCGCUUGAAUGAGGAUUCGGGACAAAAAGCAAAAAAUGCACACGUGUAAUGUGCAGUUUUGCUGAAAUUUGACAUCAGUAGAUCCGACGUGGAUAAAAGUCUGUUUACCAAAUAUUUAUUAGUAUUUUCUCUAUUCUUUGGCCCGGUUGAAAUAUGUUUAAUAUUUAUUUCUUUAUCGAACCACACGCAGUGACAUUUAAAUAAAUAGUAUACCGAUGCCGGAAACAAUCUGUCCAUUUUU